rnacentral:rRNA from 1 species
AUUGAACGCUGGCGGCAUGCCUUACACAUGCAAGUCGAACGGCAGCACGGGAGCAAUCCUGGUGGCGAGUGGCGAACGGGUGAGUAAAGUAUCGGAACGUGCCCAGUCGUGGGGGAUAACGUAGCGAAAGUUACGCUAAUACCGCAUACGAUCUAUGGAUGAAAGCGGGGGAUCGCAAGACCCCGCGCGAUUGGAGCGGCCGAUAUCAGAUUAGGUAGUUGGUGGGGUAAAGGCUCACCAAGCCGACGAUCUGGAGCUGGUCUGAGAGGACGACCAGCCACACUGGGACUGAGACACGGCCCAGACUCCUACGGGAGGUAGCAGUGGGGAAUUUUGGACAAUGGGCGAAAGCCUGAUCCAGCCAUGCCGCGUACAGGAUGAAGGCCUUCGGGUUGUAAACUGCUUUUGUACGGAACGAAAAGGUUUGGCCUAAUAAGCUGAGCUCAUGACGGUACCGUAAGAAUAAGCACCGGCUAACUACGUGCCAGCAGCCGCGGUAA